GUUUGGAUACUCUGAAGGACUUUAUUAUGAUGUGGAAAAGUUGAAUAGAGUGCUUAAAUGGUUGGGUUUCACAAAGAGUGAAGCUGAUUCUCAAGUAAAAUGGGCUGCUGUAAAUACUCUCUUAAUAUUAGUUCGUCAUCAAGAAGCUCGAUCCAGAGUAGCAGAAGCCAUGGCUUUGGGAAAGUCCGUUGGCUCUUGCAUUGAUAUAAUAGAGAACACAUUAAUUGGCAAAGAAAUAUAGAUAUAUUAUUACCUUUUGUUUCUGCCAAAACUAUCUUCAACGCUUUGUCUAGAAUCUUGUAGUUAGACAGAUCAAAAAAAAAUCUUUCAAAGCUUUCUAGUCAGAGUUGAAAACUUGCUCCAAAUUGUGCAAAUUUUAUGAGAAGUCAAUAAGCCUAACAGAUUAUUAAUUUGAACUCCAAACCUGUUAUUAAUUUGAACUCCAAGCCAAAUUAUAAAUUUUAUGAGAAGUUAAUAAGCUUAACAGGUUUGGAGCAAAUUUUAAGUCUUCGAAUUAAUUA